rnacentral:rRNA from 1 species
AACACGUAGGCAACCUGCCCUCAAGCUUGGGACAACUACCGGAAACGGUAGCUAAUACCGAAUACUUGCUUUCUUCGCCUGAAGGAAGCUGGAAAGACGGAGCAAUCUGUCACUUGAGGAUGGGCCUGCGGCGCAUUAGCUAGUUGGUGAGGUAACGGCUCACCAAGGCGACGAUGCGUAGCCGACCUGAGAGGGUGAUCGGCCACACUGGGACUGAGACACGGCCCAGACUCCUACGGGAGGCAGCAGUAGGGAAUCUUCCGCAAUGGGCGAAAGCCUGACGGAGCAAUGCCGCGUGAGUGAUGAAGGUUUUCGGAUCGUAAAGCUCUGUUGCCAGGGAAGAACGUCCUUGAGAGUAACUGCUCAAGGAGUGACGGUACCUGAGAAGAAAGCCCCGGCUAACUACGUGCCAGCAGCCGCGGUAAUACGUAGGGGGCAAGCGUUGUCCGGAAUUAUUGGGCGUAAAGCGCGCGCAGGCGGUCAUUUAAGUCUGGUGUUUAAUCCCGGGGCUCAACCCCGGAUCGCACUGGAAACUGGGUGACUUGAGUGCAGAAGAGGAGAGUGGAAUUCCACGUGUAGCGGUGAAAUGCGUAGAGAUGUGGAGGAACACCAGUGGCGAAGGCGACUCUCU